CUUCAACAAAACUCUUGUCUUUUGAAUACACAUAGGGAAAUUGGGGAGUGAGAUAGUGAUACAUGUACCUGGAAUUUAUUAAUGUGUUACAGUGUCUAUUUAAUAAGUAAGAAUAAUUUUAACCAGAGAACAAAUGAAUGACUUUUUGCUUGGUUUGAAGUUGACAAAAAAAGAAAGGAAGGAUACCAUCACUGUUUCCUGGAAGCAAGGAAGUUUUCUUGGUAUUGGAGGGGACCGGUCUCAAAUCUACGAACUAUAUGAAUAUGAAACAACUGGUGGACGCAUUCUUCCCAUAUACAUACAAACUGAUUUUGAAAAACCUGACAUAAUUUUCUGCGAUUGGCGUAUACAAUACGGGAUGAACAACGGGGUACUUUUUCUGGUUUAUCACAACAAGGAACAGAAACCAUAUCAACAUCGCUUCGUUUCCAGUCAGAUGCAAAAGUCAACAAAUCCACUAAACAUAUUGGCAAACGAGCUUGAUCUGGCGUGGGCUGAUGGAGACUAUCUCCAUGAUAUAUAAACAACAGUUUUGUAUGUUCUGAUACUCUGUGGCAUGGAGCUUUAUCUAUAAUGACAUUAUGUCUAGAAACGGUAACUUCGAAAAUAUAAAAAAUGAACUUUCCUCCCUGGUUCUGUUAAUAAAGCGUUAUUUGUUUGUUUAAGCUUACACAAUAACCCAUCACUUAAAUGAGAUGUUGAAAUACGACUAGUGCUGGUGUCUUUGGCUGGUUAUGAUACAACUUAAUACAUUUUCUCAUUGAAAUAAAAAAAAUGUAAGAAAACUAGAUCAAUAAAUAAUGCAACUGCUUUAAUACCUUUGGAACUUUUACAGAAUGUAUUAAGUUACUUGUACUGUUUCUAAAGGAAGGCAUUCCGCAGGUCUGGAUAAAAUUCACGGCUUCUUAUGACGUUUUUGCUUAACUCUUACACUAGGCCUGCGGCAUCGAUUUGCUCAUAUUCUCACAUUUGCCAGAAAUUACCAAAAUUGCAUUAUUUAUUAUUAUUUUCUGAUAACAAAAUAUCUUCAUAUGUUUUUCACUGUCCAUUUAUAAAAUAUAAAAUUGUCACUUCUGGAAAAGAAUCCGUUGCUAUGUGAGAAUUAUUUUAAGGACAUUGUUAUGUGACAGCGCACUUUUAUCAUAAACGUAAAGAAAUAGUUUUACGAUAAAAAAAUAGCAAAAUGUCUUAAACAUAGUUCUAUUUAUUUUAGAGUUGAACAAUAUACAAUGGCCGUCGUUAUUUGGGCAAUAAAUGAAGAAAAUUCAAAAAUAUUGGUAUAUAAACUUUACAGCAAUUCUCAGAUUAUGCCUGUCGUCGUUUAACUACACGUACGUAUACGCUGGAAUGCUUACUAGUAAAUGUUUUCAAAUUGA
rnacentral:lncRNA from 1 species